CCCAGCUCCAGAUUAGCCUCAUUCCCACUCACCUCUCGAUUGGAGCCUAGAGCAGUUCUCCACCCAGAUCCCGUCUCUCACCCGUUGUGGCAGCGACCGACAGCACUCGGCAAGUUACGGUGCUAGAAAAGUACGGCGACUGAUGGUGGCGGAAAACGGCGACUGGCCACGCAUGCUGUUGUGGGAGCGGCGGCAGCACGGGCUGAUGGGCGAGCGGGGGGCAGGGGGCGCAAGGCUGAUGGCCGAGCGGCGGGGCGUGCUAAUGGGCGGCCGGCGCCGUGGGCUGAUGUUCUGCGCUGAUCGGUUCUCAUUCGCAUGCAGGGUAAAGGAGGCGAGAGAUCCACAUCUCUAGCUGAACAGCCGCCCGAGGAAAUGUCUCCUCCCUACCCAGCCAGAAGUUUGAUCCUUCCGAUCGAAGAGGUACCGUAUCAGUUUCCAUUUGCAAGACGUAUGGUUGGAAAAGGAUUGAAGUACUGGUGUAACACUAAUAAUUCUUACUAAGAUGUGAUUUCUAUGUCAAUGUGUAGAUGAUUCCUGAACAAAUUAUAUAUAUGGCGAUGGGCACUACGAUCAAGACGACGAUAAUGGUGAUGAGUCUGAUGAUCUUCGAGUCAUGCAACCAAGUGAAGUUAUGAAGUUCAUGGACAAUUUAGCUUAUGCACAAUGUUUGGACCAUUAUAUCUUAGUCAUUAUUUUGUUUUUCAUUUGACACUUCUUAGAUGCGUCAGUAUGGCCAAUGUAAUAUUGAUUCAACUCAUUAGCCAUGUUAUACUUCUUGUUGUUAUGCUAAAUAAAAUAUAUUUUCUUUGA